AAUAAAUGGAUAUUAUUAUAUAUAAAGGUUAGGUUCUAGAAUUAACCUUUGCAAAAUUGAGAAUGCAAUGCUAAGACUCGGUUAUUAUGUGUCGCAGGUUUUGUGCAUACCGGUAUUGAAAUUUUAUUUUAUUUAUAUUUUAUUUUAUAGAGAACAUGACUGACAAAGAUCUAUUUGACAGUGAUUAUGAUGGGAGUUCACAAAUACAUGAGCACAGUUACAUUGUGAUUCUGACGAGACACAACCACCUUCACCUUUUGGUUGACAGGAAUAUUCCAGUGAAAGACCAGUUGUUCAACAGCCUUUUUUACAAACAAAUUCCUGGUGCUGCCAUUCCUAAUCAACCGACAUAUCAGAAUUCUGGAUAAGAAUUCAGAUUACAGGCAGCAUAUUCAACCG